GUGUUGUAUGAAAGGAGAGAAGGUUAGCACUCCCCUUGACAAGGAUGGAAGGGGUCCUUGGGCCUGACAACAUGCUUUCCUCCAGCUGGGCCUCUGCCUGGUGGCUUUGCGGGGAGCUGCUUCU